UCCGUGUUAACCACGGCAGUCUCUUUAGAGUGCCCAACUUAAUGCUGGCAACUAAAGACAAGGGUUGCGCUCGUUGCGGGACUUAACCCAACAUGUCACCACACGAGCUGACGACAGCCAUGCAGCACCUGUCUCUCAGCGGUAUUGCUACCGAAACCGUAUUUCUACGGCGGUCCGAGGAUGUCAAACCCAGGUAAGGUUCUGCGCGUUGCUUCGAAUUAAACCACAUGAUCCACCGCUUGUGCGGGCCCCCGUCAAUUCCUUUGAGUUUUAGUCUUGCGACCGUACUUCCCAGGCGGGAUACUUAUCGCGUUAGCUCCGACUCUGCAGGGGUCAAGACCCACAAAGUCUAGUAUCCAUCGUUUACAGCGUGGACUAC
rnacentral:misc_RNA from 1 species